rnacentral:rRNA from 1 species
CAGAGUUCAUGCCCGAGAGGGUAGACCUCCCACCCUUGUGUAUCAUUACCAUGUUGCUUUGGCGCGCCGCCCCGGGCCUCGCGCGCGCGCCAGAGGAUAACCAAACUCUUUUUAUCAACGUCGUCCGAGCACUAUACAAUAGUUA